rnacentral:lncRNA from 1 species
GUGGAAGAAAUCUCUAAAAUUGCUAUUUUACAGCAACCUUUGCUCAUUUUCCUGCAAAUUAAAGACAGACUUUGUUUUCUCUCUGUUUUUUUAAAUUCAGUCAGAGAUGGCUUCACCAUGGAGUCACGCACAUGAGAACACUAGACUGUGGUCCCACACAUUGACUGUAAUGGUUUUCCCAUGUACCCUGGCUCCUGGUUGAUCCGGAGGUUUUAAAACAGACCUUUAAGCUACAGGGUUUUCCUUGCCCUUUGAGAAACAUCUUGCUUGAAUCAAGAAAAGUCAUCCAUCCUAUGUCUUCUUGUACAGAUCUUACCUAUCCCAGACGAGCAUUGGUCAACGGCCUGGAUCCCAUAUACCUCAAGACUGUGGGAAGUCUGAAUGAUAGGGUCUGGGCCACCAAUAUGAGAAUCCCUACCAAUUUUGAGUGCUCUGUGGGAAAGCUAAUGCAGCAAGAGCAUGAAAAAAAAUUGAGGAUGGCACAUGAUACAGAAUUUGAGCUUGGCGACAAAGAAACCAGGAGGAAAUCCUUGCAACUUCAGUUCCCCUCACUAGCUGUGCAUUGCAUUAUUGCUGAAGUACAUGCAAGCAUCUGGAAUUUAGCCCCUGUCUCAAUUGACAUCUGUUCAGGCAGUAGAUAG